AUUUUGUUUUGUUAGUUUUGAAAUUAUGAUAUUGUAUUUUGCCAAUACUUUUUGUGACGGGUUGUCCCGUGGACCCCGGCUGAGCAUCUACUAUAACUCCUCACAUGUGCGUCCCUCACGGGUCACGGCAUAUGUAAGUUAUUGUUGUGUUUAAUGAAAGGCACCUGAUACAGGAAGGCCUGACUUAUUUCUGGGUAGAAUAGGUGCUGUUAGGAGAGUUACAGCAGCAGAAGCUGAGAUGGCUGUUCAAGGGAUUUGAUCACGGGACUACUAGUUGAAGAGACGAUGAGACAGAGAGAAAAGUAUUGAGGAGGAAAAUGUGUCUUGUGAAGAGAGAGUUUGAGUCGGUUAAAAGCUAUGUCAGUACUUUUACUAAUGUCAGAGAAACAACCAUCGAAGAGCUCUUUGGACCGCCAGUCUCUUUGGACCGCCAGUCUCAUAAACUUACAUUCAUCAACAUUACAAAUUUUACCAUCGUCUCUAGUUUAUGUGUUUUUGUUAAUGGCCAAGAAGGUUGGUGACACAGCUAGAAGGAAGGAGAGAAGGCGCAAAAGGAGGUUGAAGUUCUUGAUCCAAAAAAAAGAAAGAAAAAAAAGGAGGUUGAAGUUCAGAACUGAUGGAAGAAAAUGUGAAACUGACGGCACCUUUUGACAAGAAAGAAGCUCAGCUUCUUGCUUUGAACAACAAUAUACUGAAAACAUAACUGGACUGUAUAUGUACGUGGAGCUACAGUGAGGAUCUUCCUGUGGUUAUAACGAAGAGUAUGGUUGGGGAGAAUUAUAGAAUCAAUAUCACCAUCUUCUUCCACGCCUAUAUAUGUUUAAAGGAGUUGAAGUUGUGAGUACCUCUUUGUGAUUGUGAAUCUCAGUGGAGUAAGUUGUGUGUAUACAUCUUCUAGGAUCUAUUGAACUUCUUCCAGGUCUUACAUGUUAAAGCUUAACCCGGAGAUUCUACAGUGGUCCUCAGUCUCCCAACAUACCCGUCAUGGCUGAAUCUUACAGUAAGAUUGUCUUCCCUGACCCUUUUGAAAGUUUCUUCUCCCAUGUGUGUUAUUACCCGGCUGUUCACUUCUCCAACCUCCCAGAUGGAUUUAACCUGCUCAUUAGGUGCAUUCUUGUUCUGGUGGUAUCUAGUGGAAGCAGUCGUUAUUGCUUAGUCAUGAUAAUUAUCUUCACUCGCUAAUAGAACGCACUAUGAGAUGGAAAAAAGGAGACAACAAGGAUCAUCCGGUUUGAAUUUGGUCUUUAAAGUUCUCAGACGCAGAUGAGCUAAAAAGACAGUUGAUCAUGGUAGUCUAGAUAAGCAACCCGAAGAUUUUUAGUUUUCCUCUGGCUAUGAAUGUUUUAACAACAGAGAGAAGUUGGCUAGGAAUUUUUUGUAUGAUACACUUCAUAUGCGUCACUGGGGAGAUAUCUUAAUAUCUGGACACCUUUUCUUAACGGUUACAACUUGUAGCAAUAUGGUUGUAUGUGACAGUAAACAAUGCAUAUGCAAUAGCUCAUCUUUUUUUUUUUUUUUUUGCGUAUGCAUUAGACAGUAAACAUGCAUUUGCAUUAGCUCAUCUUAUUUGCGACUUCCUCAAAUCUUCUCUUGUCAUAUGUUAGUACAUUGGGUGCAAACUUUAUGUUACAAAUUUUCUUCUAAAGCAUAAGCAUCACAGGUUUGUGAAUGUGUGAAAAAAGAAGAAGUAAACUGAGUUUUUUUUAAAAAAAAAUUUGUGUGGGAAUUUGCAUGGUCUCUCUAAUGGUAUUUUUCUUGCCUUCUCUGAAUAGUAGAGGAGGCAAUGGAGGAAGCAAGCGAGGAGGGAUGAGUUCUUCUUGAAACAUGACCUCAAAAACAAGUAAUUUCUCCUUCUGUUCUAUAUGUAAGUCAUCUUCUUAUCGUCGACAAAAAAAAAGUCAUCCUCUUAUCCUGUAUUUUCAUUUUCAUUCAAUAGGACAUGUAUGGCGUCGAUUUAGGACUUCGUAGAUUUUUUUUAGUUUCUUUUCUAUGUUAGAAGAAGCACCACAUUAACUUCUCAUGUGUAGGGACUUGUGACACUGACAUUUUUCAGGCUCUUGUUUAGUGAAGCCCAAAAUUUCAUAAUAGUCACAUGUGACUUGUAAAGACAAAGAAGUUGAAAUCCUUGUUGUUCUUUGUGGCCAUAGAACAUGGGAAAUUAACUUCCCCACUUUAGGUUAUCCAAAGAAGAGAACAAAAAAUCAAAUUGGUGGCUCAAAUUGGAUGGUGGGGAAUAUACGUCUGCUUAUGUGUUAUGGCACUCUUUGCUUAGAUGGUGUUUUAGGUUUUUGGAUAGUAGCCACAUGGGUAAGUCUUAUGGUUUCAGGUCAAUGGACCCUCACACUUAAGCCCCUUCUGAUUUCUCUUGGCUCUGCUUUUUCUAAUAUGUUUUCUUCUUCUUGCCUCCUUUUUCAUUACCAUUUUUAGUUAAUUUAUUUUGCGGAGGUACUUGUUGAACAUCACAUGCCUUACUUUCCCCCUCUUUUGUUGGUGGGUCUAUGAGUUUACUAACUUCUCAAACAUUCUUCAAAGUUACAACAGUGUUUAGUUGCAGAAAUUUAAACUGAUAAUAACAGACUUUCUGAUCUGCCUUUUCUGGUUUUGUUGUUCUAGAUGUUUAUGUGUGCUGUGUUUGUGUUUGGACUCUGUUUAGUCCGUCGGCUCUGUUUUCUAGGAUCGUUGUAUCUCCGGAAUUUGUAUAAGUUUCAUCAUGGUUAAUAUAAUCAUCUUUAGUAUGUAAAAAAAAACAUGUUACUUCCAAGUUGG